rfam:Triticum urartu cultivar G1812 contig1101626, whole genome shotgun sequence.
AAUGUACUUCCUCCGUCCAAAAAUACUUGUCAUCAAAAUGAAUAAAAGGGGAUGUAUCUAGACAUACUUUAGUUCUAGAUACAUCUCUUUUUAUCCAUUUUGAUGACAAGUGUUUUCGGACAGAGGGAGUAUUUG